GGCUGCGUGAGCGGAGGGGGUGCUCGAAACAGGUGGAGGAGAGCAUGCUCAACGAUCUACAGAGUUUCGCUUGCACGACAAGGAAGAGAGGAUGGCGUCGGCCAUGGGAGGAGAGAGAGAGAGAGGGUGCUCGCUCGAGGAUAGAGGUAAGCAUGGAGGCGUCGAGAGCAGGAGAGCAGGGAGGAGGCCAUUUUUGUGUGACGGAAUCGUUUUUGGGAGGGUUCUCUGGUUCUAGUUCAGAGGGAAGCAACGUUCGACCAUCGGAGAAUCCCUUUUUCAUUGAGGGGGCUCGCUGAUUUGGAGCGAAGAAGAAACUUCAUCUCCAGAGUUCACCGCCGAAGUUUUUGAUCAAGGGUCAAGCCGUAAACUAUGCUUCGUUCAUUGGAUGUUGAAUAUCGGGCGAAAGCUGUUGUUGUUCAUCAUUGGCAGAAGUAGAAGCCUAACCAGGCACUUGCUUCCGAGAUGCUUUUAUCUCUCUGUUUUCUUUGACCGAGUGGGGUAUUUUGACUCAAUCGAUGAUCUCGAGAAAACUGUGACGAGACGAAGCUGUUUUGUUGUUAAUGAUAGUGAUCCAGGUCUGAUGCCUGUCAUCGUUAUUCGUUAGGCUAGGAACGGUUUAAAAAUCAAACCGAAAAAUCAUUGUUAAUGCUGCUCAUUACGUGCUCGAUGAAAUGUUCCAAAGAGUGCUGAAAGUUGAUGCGUGUUCCGACUCA